rnacentral:rRNA from 1 species
UACGAAGGGGGCUAGCGUUGCUCGGAAUCACUGGGCGUAAAGCGCACGUAGGCGGAUCUUUAAGUCAGGGGUGAAAUCCUGGAGCUCAACUCCAGAACUGCCUUUGAUACUGGGGAUCUUGAGUCCGGAAGAGGUGAGUGGAACUCCGAGUGUAGAGGUGAAAUUCGUAGAUAUUCGGAAGAACACCAGUGGCGAAGGCGACACACUGGGCCAUUACUGACGCUGAGGCGCGAAAGCGUGGGGAGCAAACAGG